rnacentral:lncRNA from 1 species
GAAUCACACAAGGUCCCUACUAGCUCUGUGCAGCUCUCUGCGAACACUUCUUGAGAGUUCUUCUAACAAGAGCAGUAGACAAAAUUGGGUGGGGAGAACCAAAGCGAUGCUUAGAUAAGAGGAGCAAAUUAACCAUAGCAGGAAACAUGUGUUUCCUGCUAUGGAUACAGUAGGACCUCUGUAUCUAUGGGAUCUGUAUCCACCCUUUCAAUUAUCUAUGGUCUGAAAAUAUUAAAAGAAAAAAUCCAGGAAAAAAUAUUUUCAUGUGUCUGCAUUUCCUAGUAUGGUUCUGCCCUAGCUGGCUGGACAGGUCAGUGGUUUAAGCAUUUGGCUGCAGAGUCAGAGGUUGGGGGAAAAUCUUUUGAACCAAACUUGAAUUAGCCUCCAUUUGCAGUUGCCAAAUUAAAGAGAUCCUGCCUUUUCCCAGGAUCAUGACACCCAUAGGUUUUAAGGAGUUGGUGCGUGACAGAGAAAUGAAGUGGCAACCCUAAUUCUUCGCCAAAGUGCUUGAAUCCCCAAAGGUUCAAACCUAGGCUUUUAAGAAUUAUUGCCCUCAAAGCUCUAAACCUGGAAGGAAGACUUUGCAUCGUCUGGUUUCUCGUAGAUUCACACACUUUUCCUCUCACCUUCUCUCUAUCCUAGAUAGGAAGGAAAUAGGGGAUUUUGGAAAACACCUAUUAGAAAGAAACUGAAACUGAAUGAUCUCUCUUCUGUAGUGGUUUAUGUUGCAGAGUUUUGCAUUUUGAUUAAAUUCUCUCCCAGCUGCACAGCAGAAAUUGAGAGAUUCACAGAGCAGAAUAGCCUUAAGUUGCCCAGAGUAGACCAACUCCUUUUUCUCUCUCCUUAACUGGCAGGUGCAGGAGGAAAAGGAAGAAAACAAUCAGGAGCAGAAGGAGAAGGGACAGAUUUCAGCCAAAACACCUCAUCAGAGCGGGUUUGACAUCGAGGAAGAAUACACUGCCGAUGAGCGCCACAUUCUGGAGAUAGGAGACGUCAGGACAUUUAGUGAGUGGUUCCUGUACGAAAAUGCUGACAGCUUUGAGACCUACGCAGGGAGCAAGACCUCAGUCAAGCCGAUCAGGACAUUCAGUUCAGCACCUGUUCUAUCAGAACUAACAUUUUCCAACACAAGCAUGAACACAAGCAGGUCCUCGGGCCAACCACCAGCGCCUCCUGUGUUUCCAGUUCCAAAGAAAGGCGAAAACGGAAGCCUUAACAUUGUCACCAUCUAUUCCGCCAUCUCCAAAAUUCUGGGGGAGAAAAAUGGAGAGAGAGCAGACACUGAGCCCUGUCAGAGAGGUGUCUUGGAACAGGAGGAGCUGAGAGGGCAAUAGAAGCCCCAGGUAGGCAAAGCUUUGUCUUGAGCUUCCUCUUGAAGGCUGGGAGGGAGGGGGGCUGGCGAAGCUCUUAACGGGAGCCCAGUCAAGGAUGGUGCCACAAC